rnacentral:rRNA from 1 species
AGAGUUUGAUCAUGGCUCAGAACGAACGCUGGCGGCGUGGCUAAGGCAUGCAAGUCGAACGAGCCAUUUAUAUGGGUAACCAAAUGGAUGGUUAGUGGCGAACGGGUGAGUAAUGCAUAGGUAACGUGCCCUGAACUUUGGGAUAGCCGGGGGAAACUCCGGGUAAUACCGAAUGAUGUCCAGUAGUCGCAUGGUUAUUGGACCAAAGGUUUCGGCCGGUUUGGGAGCGGCCUAUGUCGUAUCAGCUAGUUGGUGAGGUAACGGCUCACCAAGGCUUCGACGCGUAGCGGGACUGAGAGGUUGUUCCGCCACAUCGGGACUGAGACACUGCCCGGACCCCCACGGGGGGCUGCAGCAACGAAUCUUGCGCAAUGGACGAAAGUCUGACGCAGCGACGCCGCGUGUAGGACGAAGCCCUUCGGGGUGUAAACUACUGUCAGGGUGAAGAAAGAUCUGAUCGAACCCAGAGGAAGGACCGGCUAACUUCGUGCCAGCAGCCGCGGUAAUACGAAGGGUCCUGGCGUUGUUCGGAAUUACUGGGCUUAAAGAGCACGUAGGCGGGAAGGUAAGUGUCUUGUGAAAGUCCUCGGCUUAACCGAGGAAUUGCAGGGCAUACUGCUUUCCUUGAGGCAGGUAGGGGCGCGUGGAACUCUAGGUGGAGCGGUGAAAUGCGUAGAUAUCUAGAGGAACGCCUGUGGUGAAAACGGCGCGCUAGGCCUGAUCUGACGCUGAGGUGCGAAAGCGUGGGUAGCGAACAGGAUUAGAUACCCUGGUAGUCCACGCCGUAAACGAUGUCUACUAGGUCGCGGGAGUUCUGACGCUGUCGCGGCCGAAGCAAAAGUAUUAAGUAGACCGCCUGGGGAGUACGGUCGCAAGGCUAAAACUCAAAGGAAUUGACGG